rnacentral:rRNA from 1 species
AGUGAACGCUGGCGGUAGGCCUAACACAUGCAAGUCGAACGGCAGCACAGUAAGAGCUUGCUCUUACGGGUGGCGAGUGGCGGACGGGUGAGGAAUACAUCGGAAUCUACUUUUUCGUGGGGGAUAACGUAGGGAAACUUACGCUAAUACCGCAUACGACCUACGGGUGAAAGCAGGGGAUCUUCGGACCUUGCGCGAUUGAAUGAGCCGAUGUCGGAUUAGCUAGUUGGCGGGGUAAAGGCCCACCAAGGCGACGAUCCGUAGCUGGUCUGAGAGGAUGAUCAGCCACACUGGAACUGAGACACGGUCCAGACUCCUGCGGGAGGCAGCAGUGGGGAAUAUUGGACAAUGGGCGCAAGCCUGAUCCAGCCAUACCGCGUGGGUGAAGAAGGCCUUCGGGUUGUAAAGCCCUUUUGUUGGGGAAGAAAAGCAGCAGGUUAAUACCCCGCUGUUCUGACGGUACCCAAAGAAUAAGCACCGGCUAACUUCGUG